rnacentral:rRNA from 1 species
UACGGAGGGGACUAGCGUUGUUCGGAAUUACUGGGCGUAAAGCGCACGUAGGCGGAUUUGUAAGUCAGGGGUGAAAUCCCGGGGCUCAACCUCGGAACUGCCUUUGAUACUGCAAAUCUCGAGUCCGGAAGAGGUGAGUGGAAUUCCUGGUGUAGCGGUGAAAUGCGCAGAUAUCAGGAGGAACACCGGUGGCGAAGGCGGAUCUCUGGGCCAUUACUGACGCUGAGGAGCGAAAGCGUGGGGAGCGAACAGG